UUUCCGUAGGUGAACCUGCGGAAGGAUCAUUAUUGAGCUGGCCCCUCCAUCGGGGCCCAUCUCUCCUUCUUUCACACCGUGCACACGUCUCUUCACACGCAACCUCAGGAUCGCAUGUUCCAAUACAGCUUACACUGUACACUAUAAUCAUAAUAAACUUUCAGCAACGGAUCUCUUGGCUCUC
rnacentral:misc_RNA from 1 species